AGUGAACGCUGGCGGCGUGCCUAAUACAUGCAAGUCGAACGGAGUGGCGCACGGGGGAGUAAUAUAUAGCUAAUCUGCCCCUGGCGGGAGGACAACAGAUAGAAAUGACUGCUAAUACUCCAUAGACAGGGAUGAGACUAUAUCGUAUCAGCUAGUCGGUGGGGUAACGGCCUACCGAGUCUAUGACGCGUAACUGGUCUGAGAGGAUGAGCAGGUACAUUGGAAGUGAGACACGGUCCAAGCACCGUCCGGAGGGAGCAGUAGGUAAUAUUGCGCAAUGGGGGAAUCCCUGACGACGCAACGCCGCGUGGAGUAUUACACUUUUCGGAGCGUAAACUCCUUUUGUUAGGGAAGCGGUACCUAACGAAUAAGCACCGGCUAACUCCGUGCCAGCCGCCGCGGUAAUUC
rnacentral:rRNA from 1 species